rnacentral:rRNA from 1 species
UCAUCUCCGGGGGUAGAGCACUGUUUCGGCUAGGGGGCCAUCCCGGCUUACCAACCCGAUGCAAACUGCGAAUACCGGAGAAUGUUAUCACGGGAGACACACGGCGGGUGCUAACGUCCGUCGUGAAGAGGGAAACAACCCAGACCGCCAGCUAAGGUCCCAAAGUCAUGGUUAAGUGGGAAACGAUGUGGGAAGGCCCAGACAGCCAGGAUGUUGGCUUAGAAGCAGCCAUCAUUUAAAGAAAGCGUAAUAGCUCACUGGUCGAGUCGGCCUGCGCGGAAGAUGUAACGGGGCUAAACCAUGCACCGAAGCUGCGGCAGCGACGCUUAUGCGUUGUUGGGUAGGGG